rnacentral:siRNA from 1 species
UGUUCUCACUUUCUCAGUUGGUAC